rnacentral:lncRNA from 1 species
AAAGGAUUAGCUCAAGCUCAAAAGCUCAAGACUUUUCAUUUUAUAUUUUAGUGAUCCAAGAUCACAUUGAGUCUUUAGGAAAAGCCAAUACUAUUAAGGAGGGAUGAGGUGUUGCUUAAUGAGCCUCUUGCUUCAUGUGCUUAGUGAUAUGCUCCAAAACCCUCAACUACUUUCCCAUAUCCACAUAUGACCUAAACCCUAAGCCAAACUCGGUCCUACCGAUUCUUCCUAUCCGGCGCCACCGAGUUUCACUUGUCAUUAGCCACUGCCAAACCCUAGCAAUUCGGUUCUACCGAUAAGGAUCUCGGUCUCACCGAGAUGGGGUUGCAAACUCUCUGUUUCCCUUUCGUAACUUUUCGGUUUUACCGAAAGAGCGAAUCGGUCCCACCGAGAUUGCAAUGUAAACUCAGUGUUUCCCCUUUGUAACUUUUCGGUCUCACCGAGUUCCACUCGGUCUCACCGAAAGAGCAAAUCGGUCCCACCGAGUUUGCCUGACCAACUCUCUGGUUAGCUAAUUACCAAAUUCGGUCUCACCGAGUUUGUGUAAUCGGUCUCACCGAGAUUACUUUAUGCCCAAACCCUAACCGAAUCGGUCCUACCGAGUUGCAUGUCAGUCCCACCUAAAUUCCUAACGGUCACUAGGUUUACUAUUUCGGUCAGACCGAAUUUUCUGAUUCGGUCCCACUGAGAUUAGUAAAUUGUAUGUAACGGUUGGAUUCUGUGUAGGCUAUAUAUACCCCUCCACCUCUUUCUCAUUCGAUGAGAGAGCCAUCAGAACACACACACCAUUCCAACUCAUAUGUUCUAAGAGAGAACCACCUACUCAUGUGUUGAGACCAAGACAUUCCAUUCCUACCAUAUGAAUCUUGAUCUCUAGCCUUCCCAAGUUGCUUUCCACUCAAAUCUUCUUUCCACCAAAUCCAAAUCCUAUGAGAGAGAGUUGAGUGUUGGGGAGACUAUCAUUUGAAGCACAAGAGCAAGGAGUUCAUUACCUACACACCAUUUGUUACUUCUUGGAGAGUGGUGUCUCCUAGAUUGGCUAGGUGUCACUUGGGAGCCUCCGACAAGAUUGUGGAGUUGAACCAAGGAGUUUGUAAGGGCAAGGAGAUCGCCUACUUCGUGAAGAUCUACCGCUAGUGAGGCAAGUCCUUCGUGGGCGAUGACCAUGGUGGGAUAGACAAGUUUGCUUCUUCGUGGACCCUUUGUGGGUGGUUGCUUCUUUGUGGACCCUUCGUGGGUGGAGCCCUGUGUGGACUCGCGCAACCAUUGCCCUGGGGUGGAGCCCUAUGUGGACUCGCGCAACCGUUACCCUUCGUGGGUUGAAGUCUCCAUCAACGUGGAUGUAGGAUAGCACCACCUAUCCGAACCACGGGAAAAACAUCUUUGUCUCCAAUAGCGUUUGAAUUCUCCAAACCCUUCCCUUUACAUUCUUGCAAGUUGCAUGCUUUACUUUCCGCUGCCAAUAUACUCUUUGCAUGCUUGCUUGAAUUGUGUGAUGAUUGCUUGACUUGUCCUAAAAUAGCUAAAAUCUGCCAAGAACUAAAAUUGGGAAAAGGUUAAGUUUUUAUUUGGUCAAGUAGUCUAAUCACCCCCCUCUAGACAUACUUUCGAUCCUAGAGUAACACUUUGCCUACUUUGUCAUGAUUAUGCUCUCACAUGCUUCUAUAUUUUAUAUUCAUACGAGUGCAUACAUGUAGGGGGAGCCUAUGUGUGUUACAUGUCCUUCCAAAGCUUUACUUGCUGUUCUUUAUAUCUUUAUCUAAAGCUUUGAUGUAUGUUGCCAUCAAUUACCAAAAAGGGGGAGAUUGAAAGCACAAGUGCUCCCUAGGUGGUUUUGAUAAUUGAUGACAACAUAUCUCUUGUUGGACUAACUUUUCUAUCUAGUAUGUUUCAGAAAAGUUCAACAAUGGAGUGGCAUGGACUAAAGGUUGUGGGAAGUUCUCCAAGAUGCUAAGGACAAAGUAUUGGCUAAAGCUUAAAGCUCAAGACUCUUCAUUUUACAUUUUUAGUGAACCAAGAUCACAUUGAGUCCAUAGGAAAAGCCAAUACUAUCAAGGAGGAAUGAGGUGUUGCUUAAUGAGCCUCUUGCUUCAUGUGCUUAGUGAUAUGCUCCAAAAUCCUCAACCACUUUCCCAUAUCCACAAAUGACCUAAACCCUAAGCCAAACUC